rnacentral:tRNA from 1 species
GGUAUAGCUAGCUCAGUGAGUAGUAGAGCACUUGCCUAGUAUGUAUGAGGCCCUGGGUUCAAUCCCCAGCACCA